rnacentral:sRNA from 1 species
CAAUAGCCCCGAUUGCAGCGGCAUCCUUUUUCUUUUUUUCUCAGAAAAAAGAAAAAGAUACAGCGGAAAGCGGGAAUCAGC